rnacentral:tRNA from 1 species
GGGAAGGUGGCUCAGUGGUAGAGUGCUUGCUUUGCAUGCAUGAGGCACUGGGUUCGAUUCCUUAGCAUCACA